CAGCCGCCGCGGGAAUACGUAGGGUGCAAGCGUUAAUCGGAAUUACUGGGCGUAAAGCGUGCGCAGGCGGUUAUAUAAGACAGAUGUGAAAUCCCCGGGCUCAACCUGGGAACUGCAUUUGUGACUGUAUAGCUAGAGUACGGCAGAGGGGGAUGGAAUUCCGCGUGUAGCAGUAAAAUGCGUAGAUAUGCGGAGGAACACCGAUGGCGAAGGCAAUCCCCUGGGCCUGUACUGACGCUCAUGCACGAAAGCGUGGGGAGCAAACAGGAUUAGAUACCCGUGUAGUCCCUGUCUCUUAUAC
rnacentral:rRNA from 1 species